CAUCUAUUUAUUUAUUUAUUAUUAUUUAUUGGGCAAUGUGGUUGUUUGUGUCGUGUUUGUUGACAGACUGGAUUUUAAUGCCAACAAAACUGUUGUUGUGUUUCGUUUGGAUGGUGGCCACGCUGCUUCUUUCUUUUACCUCUGUGAUACCACUUCUGUCGUAUUUGCUACAUGGUGAAUCACUCGUACACAUGGUUCUGUUUAAUAUUUAUCCAUAGACAUGUUGCCGCGCUGUUCUGUGUCGCCAGAUACCACGUUGAGCGUUGUUAUGGACACGAUGGCUAUAGCCCGAGAUACAUUUGCUCUUCUGAGGGUGACGUCCACUCCCGGUUUCCGGCUUACGAGUUCAGAUGAAGAAGGAAUGCAGCAUUUCUCUCCCAUCUUUUCCACAUUUAUACUCCCAGUGGGCGACGGCUGACUUGGAGCGUUUGACUGACCCAAUAAUAUUAAAUGAACUGACAUUGACCAAACCUUCUCUCUCACAUUGGCUUCAUCUCCUGCCUCUCUGCCUCGUGUAUCGGCCUCUUAAACCUGUCGUGUAGCCACCACCACAAGAGAAACUGUACUGAUUUGUUUGCCUCACUGUCCUCACACACACUUCUUUACGACUGCUCACCAUCACCUGCUUUUUUCCUCACCAACACCAUGUCACCUUCACUGUCAUUGGCCCAACCCUGGCUAAGAUUGUAAACUAUUCUCCAUCCAUAAGGGUCAGUAGAAUAAGGUGUUUAAAAAAAAAAAAAAGAAGAAAGAAAUGUCUGUAUCAUAAUUUAAAUAUUAAAAAGUGCACUAUUAUAACUAUUGCCUGUGAUUAAAAAGAACAAUUAUGAUUGAAUUGAUGGUCAAAAUAAAGAGAGAUCCACCUUAUUGGUAUGGUUACAAUAAUAAAUCCUAAAGUCA